CGUAAAUUCGGUGCAGGAGACGCUGGAAGACGAAUGUGUGAAUCGUUAUCCGGAGUCCAUGUGUGUAAAAGGUGCGUAGGCGGACUAAUAAGUCAGUGGUGAAAUGUCCGGGCUUAACCCGGAAACUGCCAUUGGUACUGUAAGUCGUGAGUACAGAUGAUGUUGUCUGAAUAUGACAGGGAGCGGGGAAAUGCAUAGAUAUGUCAUAGAACACCGAUUGCGAAGGCAGAUGACAAAACUGUAACUGACGCUGAGGCACGAAAGUGCGGGGAUCAAACAGGAUUUGAUACCCUAGUAGUC
rnacentral:rRNA from 1 species